UUCUUUUUUUUUUUUUUGCUUGAAAUUCAUAAAUUUAAUAUGAUAAAAGACAUUCUAACGAUUAAGUAAGGCAAACUUAAUUGAACAAACUUUAGAUUAUGAGUUGGAGAUUUAGUUACUUCAACUCUUCACUUUGUUCUGAGAAUAUCCAUAUCAAAUUAAGUAUAGUUGAUACACGAGUAUUCCAUUUUGUUCUUUCAUAUACAAGAAAAUUUUGGAAAGUAAGCUUCGACCAAACCCUACACAGACCCACAGUUGAUCUCUACAUAAGUCCCUGUGAACAUACCUUUGAACAGAGCUAUUAAUAAUCCUCAUGAAAUAAUU
rnacentral:misc_RNA from 1 species